UACGGUAGGGGGCAAGCGUUGUCCGGAAUCAUUGGGCGUAAAGCGCGCGUAGGCGGCCCGGUAAGUCCGUUGUGAAAGUCAAAGGCUCAACCUUUGAACGCCGAUGGAUACUGCCGGGCUAGAGUCCGGAAGAGGCGAGUGGAAUCCUGGUGUAGCGGUGGAAUGCGCAGAUAUCAGGAGGAACACCAAUAGCGAAGGCAGCUCGCUGGGACGGUACUGACGCUGAGGCGCGAAAGCGUGGGGAGCGAACAG
rnacentral:rRNA from 1 species